rnacentral:rRNA from 1 species
CAGUCGCCGCGGUAAUACGAAGGGGGCUAGCGUUGCUCGGAAUGACUGGGCGUAAAGGGCGCGUAGGCGGCGGCCAAAGUCAGGCGUGAAAUUCCCGGGCUCAACCUGGGGGCUGCGUUUGAUACUUGGUUGCUUGAGUGGGGAAGAGGGUCGUGGAAUUCCCAGUGUAGAGGUGAAAUUCGUAGAUAUUGGGAAGAACACCGGUGGCGAAGGCGGCGACCUGGUCCUUUACUGACGCUGAGGCGCGAAAGCGUGGGGAGCAAACAGGAUUAGAUACCCCCGUAGUCCCUGUCUCUUAUAC